rnacentral:misc_RNA from 1 species
CCGCCAGCGCCAUCGAUACGGCCUCGGCCAUCACAAGACCUUGAGUCAUGUCGAGAUUGGCGCGCAUCCGCUCGGGAUCGACCUCGAGUCCCUCGGCGAUCUCUGCAAUCGCCUCAAGCGCCCCCGAUGUGACCAGUUGCAGCGUCGGCAAUGUCGGCCAUUCGGCAUGCCAGGGGCCGGCGCUGCGCUCAUGAUCCUGAACCUGAGCGGCCAUGAUCGUCGCUGCAAGAUU